rnacentral:rRNA from 1 species
ACAUGCAAGUCGAGCGGCAGCGCGGGGGCAACCUUGGCGGCGAGCGGNGAANGNGGNNNNUAACACAUCGGAACGCGUCCUGUAAUGGGGGAUAANCUGGNGAAAGCCAGGCUAAUACCGCAUACGUCCUGAGGGAGAAAGCGGGGGAUCGCAAGACCUCGCGUUAUAGGAGCGGCCGAUGUCGGAUUAGCUAGUUGGUGGGGUAAAGGCCUACCAAGGCGACGAUCCGUAGCGGGUCUGAGAGGACGGCCCGCCACACUGGGACUGAGACACGGCCCAGACUCCUACGGGAGGCAGCAGUGGGGAAUUUUGGACAAUGGGCGCAAGCCUGAUCCAGCCAUUCCGCGUGAGUGAAGAAGGCCUUCGGGUUGUAAAGCUCUUUCGGCCGGNNAGAAAUCGUACGGGCCAAUACCCUGUAUGGAUGACGGUACCGGAAGAAGAAGCACCGGCUAACUACGUGCCAGCAGCCGCGGUAAUACGUAGGGUGCGAGCGUUAAUCGGAAUUACUGGGCGUAAAGGGUGCGCAGGCGGCGCCAUAAGACAGAUGUGAAAUCCCCGGGCUCAACCUGGGAACUGCGUUUGUGACUGUGGUGCUCGAGUGCGGCAGAGGGGGGUGGAAUUCCACGUGUAGCAGUGAAAUGCGUAGAGAUGUGGAGGAACACCGAUGGCGAAGGCAGCCCCCUGGGUCGACACUGACGCUCAUGCACGAAAGCGUGGGGAGCAAACA